AUGCUUUUACUUGAACAAUCUGAGCAAAUAACCUUGCAAAAAUCAAAUUAUAAAUUUAUAGCAAAAUGCAUGUGAUCAAUGAUGGAUGCAUCUCAUUUCAUGGUAAACAAUCCGCAUGGUAGGUGAACGAUCCCAUAUUCACAUUGUUAUAUGUUUCAAAAAAUUUAGGGAUACAAUUCCAAGCUUAGCCAGUAUAAUAUUUUAUCGUGAGAACAAGUAACAUAGAAAACUUCUUGAAGAACCUUUUAUUUCUUUAAUGUAUAAGCACAUGAAUUCUCAAUUAAUUUUGCAUCAUAUUUGAAUUGAGAUGGUCAAUGGGUCAUGCCAAGAUAUAUAUUUCAUAUAAAAUUUUUGUUUACUAUCGCAUAUGAAUCCAUCACCAUGCCCAUAUUUAUACCAAUAAACACGAGGGAAACAAGUAGUUUUUCACAUAAAUAUUUAUAAUUCAUUUUAAUCGUAGUAAUAUGAAGAUAUAAAAGUUUUCAAUAAUUUAUAGCACAAAAUAAUAAUAAGUUUGUUUUCUUGAAACUUAAAAAGUUUCUUUUAGAGACUUGCUACAAUUCCAAAGUUGAAAUAAUAAUUACAUCACAUAAAUUAUCUCAAUUCAAAAAAUAAAUCUUUCAGCCCAUAUUCACUUAAACAUUAUUUGAUAUAUAUAUAUAUAUAUAGAGAGAGAGAGAGAGAGAGAGAGAGAGAGAGAGAGAAGAGGCAUGAUAGUAUAACUUUUCGAACAUAAAAUCAACACAAUUUCAACAACAUAGAGAAAGAUAAACACAAUCUUAAAAUCAUAAAUUGGUUAGAAUUUCAUGAUGAUAACAUUUUAAAAUUAAUUUAAAAUAGUAGCAAUACCAAAGAAGUAGACAAGAAAAUAAGGAAGGCAAGAGAGGAGAAUAUAAAUCUUUCCCAUUUUUUCAAGUAUUUUCCUAGUUUACGAGUAUUCCAGGUGUAUCUUCCAUUAUCUAAUAUAAACCUGUUACAAGAGGGUAAUUGUAAGGUUACUUUAAACAUGACAUUAAUACUUGAGAAUGUGAUAAAGAUCAUGAGAGUGUGGGAGAGGUAAUAGUGGUAUGGAUAUUUACUGCACAUAAUGAUGGAGUUACACCUUAGAAUUAAUAGUCAUCCAUAGUGAUAUUCUUUACAACAUAUUAUAAAAUAUCUCUGCAUAUAAAUUUAAGAAUUAUAGGUGAAUAUCUAUAAGGACUUGAUUCUUUGAAUUUUUUAUAUGUAUUUUUCACCAUUUUACCUCUUACCAUGGUUGCUACAGGAUAGUUUUGGGGUAUGGAAAUGGUUGACAUAGUUUUCAAUGCAAUUUUAGAGGUUAAAAAGGUCUUACAGAUGACUUCGGUUAACAUUUAUUGUUCUACAAACAUUGGUUUGAUUUUGUGGCUCUUGGAUCUCAUUUUGACUCUUGAUUUGAAAAUGGUGAAAUUGGAUCCUGGAGGUCAAUUUCCUGAAAACAACCUCUUUUAAAAAAUUUGAUGUCGCCAUUGAGUCCGAAAUGCCAAGUUUGGUGUAGUAGCAUAUUUUAUUUUCCUUCACAAAAUUUCAAACGAAUUCUGAGGAUACAUCUUCAAGUUUCAAUUUUUAGCUAAGUUGUUGGUGCAACUAACCUGUUGCUUUGUCUUUAGCGACUGAUGAGUGGUGAAUUACCACUCAUUUACACUCAACAUUCGUACACACUACUAUGAUUUGAAUGUAAAAGUGAGACACAUUUGGAAUUAAAUAUACUAAUUCCUAUAUUUUAUAGGUAUACAAGAGCCGAGAAGAAAAGAAGCAAGCUUGAGCUAAAAAGGAUCAAAAAGGAAAUUAAAGUGCAAGAGCUGGAUAAGCUAAAGCUGGAUCAGGAUCUGGCCCUCCGGCAUCGCGAUCACGGGCUUCAUCCUGCGAUCGCGCCCAGUCAAGCUAGUCAAACAACUGCGAUCGUGAUGGACUAACCGUGAUUUCCAAAAGGGCGAUCAUGAUCAAUCUUUAUCGAUCACGUGAGAGUAGAAAAUGGCCUAAGGGCAGAAAUGUCAUUUUUACUAGCCGACCCAAAAUCCUAUUUAAGGCACAAAACCCAUUCAUUCUAGAGAAAUUAUACCACAACCCUACUUUCCAUCCUAAGUAUAGGGUUUUUGUAAUUUCUUGGAGCUUGGAAUGUAAAUUUACACUAAUUUGAGACAAGAUUAAAUUAGAGGAGCUUUAAAGUGUAAAUUUGAUUUUGUCUAUUAAAGAUUCACUUGAGUCUAAAGUGUGGUUUGUCCUCUAUUUAUUUUUUU
rnacentral:lncRNA from 1 species